UGGUGGGGAGCUGAUGUCGCUCUCCUGACGAGGCCAUGGUAGGCCGAAACCAGUU
rnacentral:hammerhead_ribozyme from 15 species